GUGAGACAGGUGCUGCAUGGCUGUCGUCAGCUCGUGUUGUGAAAUGUUGGGUUAAGUCCCGCAACGAGCGCAACCCUUAUCCUUUGUUGCCAGCGAUUAGGUCGGGAACUCAAAGGAGACUGCCAGUGAUAAACUGGAGGAAGGUGGGGAUGACGUCAAGUCAUCAUGGCCCUUACGACCAGGGCUACACACGUGCUACAAUGGC
rnacentral:rRNA from 1 species